rnacentral:tRNA from 1 species
UCCCUGAUAGCUUAGUUGGUAAAGAAUCUGCCUGCAAUGCAGGAGACUCCAGUUUGAUUCUAGGGUCGGGAA